GGCUGCAUCGCAUGGUGUGGUUUUGGAAAGGUUUUUUCUGGGAUUGGGUGGGCUCGCGGCCUAUCAGCUUGUUGGUGGGGUGAUGGCUUACCAAGGCUUUGACGGGUAGCCGGCCUGAGAGGGUGGUCGGUCGCACUGGGACUGAGAUACGGCCCAGACUCCUACGGGAGGCAGCAGUGGGGAAUAUUGCACAAUGGACGAAAGUUUGAUGCAGCGACGCCGCGUGGAGGGUGUAGGCCUUCGGGUUGUGAACUCCUUUUUCUCGCGAAAAAGGCACAGUUUUGGCUGUGUUGAUGGUAGUGGGGGAAGAAGCGCCGGCUAACUACGUGCCAGCAGCCGCGGUAAUACGUAGGGCGCGAGCGUUGUCCGGAUUUAUUGGGCGUAAAGAGCUCGUAGGUGGUUCGUCGCGUCUGUCGUGAAAGCCAGCAGCUUAACUGUUGGUCUGCGGUGGGUACGGGCGGGCUUGAGUGCGGUAGGGGUGACUGGAAUUCCUGGUGUA
rnacentral:rRNA from 1 species